CGUGCACUUCCCGCUCUCUCGGUCUUUUUUAAACAAAGGUAAGACACACACUGCCGCGGGAAAGAAUGAACUCUCUGCGAGGCGGCGCUGAAGGCCUUCCCGUUACAAGAUCAAUACAUACAGUUAAAUUCGGACAGUGAAAUUCAUUCUUCGGAUUGAGGCAAAGUGAAGUGAUGAAAUAUUUACGCUAGACACAUUCUUUCACCAACUUAUAAAAGAAGAAUGUAUAAAAGCACAAAAAAAGUAAGAGAAGCUGCAAAAGGGCAAUACCCAGAAGGCCUAUAAAUUUAAUAUUCUUUGUUCAAUACUCGUUAUCAUUUUCAUUACGUUAUUCCAACUUCUUUCAAAGCUCCUUAUUUAUUUACUUGAAAAUUUAUUUAUUCCUAUAUCUUCUCAACAUAACUUCCUCAAAUUUGAACCCGAUACUGCUUGUCCAGCUGUCCUAUCCUAAUUACUAAUCUUAAAGGCUUUAGUUAUAACAUUUUUGCUAUACCACAUGCUACCUCAAUCAAAUCCUUCCUUGGUGUGGCUUCCUAUAAACUAUGUGAAAAUUUAAAAGCUUUAGUCUUUUUUCUCGUAAGGGAUAAUACGCUUACUUGCAUCUUUUUCAUCAUUCUCCUCUAUACUGACUAACAAACCUCUAUCCUUCCUGUAGCAUUGCGUACCAGAAUUGCACACUGCAGCAUCGGAUACCAAAACUACACACCACUAUAUAAUACUCAACUGAACAUGAAUCCAAAUCAGUUUCAAUAACAUCACCUAACAAAAAGUUUAGGAGUUAGAUCAGAUUUCCCUCUGAGAAACCAAUGCUGAGACCAGAAACAUAGCUGACCGUAUAACAUGAUUCAUCUUUACGUAUUGAUAUUAUGAUGAGAAUGGGAUGCGUAAAGCGAGGUCAUAACAGUUGAUAAGAUCCAAGAAACAACACUCACAGCAGGAAAAAAUUAUCAUAUUCAGAAUAGCCUGUCUCUCUCACCACAACAAUUUUCCAAGGCCACAGAGACUACUAACUGGGUUUUCAAGGCAGUUUCUCCGUAUGAUAAACGAAAAAUCUUGUCAUUCCAUCACCAGAACCAUAAAAAUAUCCCUGAAAACAGGAUUAUCUUCAUCUAGAGCCUUUGGAAAGUAGUGAUGGUGAGAGAGCAAAGCGUUUCAGAAUACAGUGCAAGCGUCACGGUGGUUUUCGUAGAUAUGAAAACCAAGACGCAGGAAGAUACAAAGACAGAGAAUGGAACAAGUGAAUGGAAAGAAAAAAAAAAUAAAUAAAUAAGACAAGGUGUGAACUUAAAUCAUUUUCAUGGAAUCGAACUAAACAUUUACCAAGCUAUAAUGAACGUCUCCUAGGGACUAAAAUAAUAAAUAAAUAAAUAAAUAAAACAUAGAAAUACAGUUUGAUCAUGUGAAUACCGCACAGCAAUGUCCAUACCCAAUAUAAAAAGAAAGAAAGAAACUGAAAACACACAUAAAUAAACGAGGAAACAUAAUCUCAAUCCUCCUUCAAUACAUUUCAAAUCCAACGACGUCCCGGACACAAUACUUGAAGCAAAACUCUCCAAUUUCCCACUUUGUUACAGAAUAGUGAUCCCGUUAAAAAUGAGUGUCGCUAGUGCUGAGGAAGACCGAGUGUGGAGAGGAGAGUGUGUCGAGUAAACACUGCUAGACUUGGCAAGGGUGCGGCAGUGUCUUGCCUCUCCUGGGAAUGAGGAGGAAGAAGAGGAGGAGGUGGUGGUGGAUGAAGUGGAAGAGGAUUAUGAGAAGCAAGAGCAGUAAUAGGAAAUGAGAGUGAUAGAAGAGAAGAAUAAAGAGGAUAAGGGAGAGUGGGAAGAGAUGAGAAGAGUAGGAGAAACAGAAGGAAUGGUGAAAAUGAUGGAAGAGGAGAUGGUGGACGAAGAGGAACGAGGGAAUAGAAGCAAGAGGAAACACAGGAAAUAACAAUGAUAAGAGAUAAGAUAAACGAGAAAGAUGAAGAAAGGUG